GCAGGUGAACCUUAAUCAGGUGAAAUACAAAAUGCACACUUUUGACCAGGCAGUGUCUCGGAACAUUCACACACCCAUCUGCCUCUGAACCGUCAGCUCAGUUGUCUGAAGAUGGGUCGUCUCACUGCCGUGGCUGUCAUUGCAGUUCUCUUCACCCUUUUCAUGGAAGCUGAAGCGAAUCCAUUUGCUUACAACUAUGAAAGGCUACGAAUUGGAGGCAUGAUCUUCUGCGGCUUUUGUUUUUUUGGAGGAAUCGCCUUUGUAGUUCGUGAGUUCCAAAUUUAAACCUAUGAAAGCAUUUUGAUCGUUUUUUAAAUCCCAACCAAAUGCUAAUACAAGAAUAAGAGUGGCAAUACAUCUCAGUAACACAUCCCACUUUGCUUUCAGGUAACAAGUGCUCCAUGAGGAACAAAAAAGGGGAAGAUGACAACAGUGAAAUCUGAUCUCGUGCCUGACAAACCGGUUUUGGCCAGGAAGAUCUCGCAGGCUCGGCGUGGAAAGGUUUGGGCGUGUGCUGGCGGUUAAGGAGGAAACACACCAGCUCAGAUGUUCAAUUCUGCAAAGACCUGUGCAAAGAUGUGCUACUUGUGCAAGGUUCAAAAGCAUGUAUCCAUUUCUCUAAUCUGUACUAAUAUGUAAAUUUGCAGUCAUUUAUUUGCACAAUGAUGUUUAUCCCUGGAAGCACAUGGGCCUUCUCGACAUAUUUAGUCUGUUUCAAAGGGAGUUUAGUCAAAAGCAUAAUCUUGUGUUGCUGAAAAAUGCAUUAUUAGGAAUAUGAUGUAAUGUUUAGUCACUCUGACCUGUUGUUGAUAAACUAGUUAAUCAUGGGAUGAGCCAUUUUGAUAUUGAUAAGAUUAAAGGAAAACAUAGAAAAUCCUUGUUGGCCACACCCAAAAUGAAAAUAAAUGACACUAUUUUGAACCAAA